GGGGCAGCUCCCAAAUCCCCAGCAUGAAGCCCUCCAUCUCCUCCUCAUUUUAAAGCCUGGUAGGCUUCUCUUUUCUUUUGUUUUUUUCUUUCCUGGUAGCUGGAGUUUUGACAAUAGCUGGCAUAAAUGCUAUUUGGUCUUAGCAAUGCUUCUAUUUUUUGUUUCCAUGUGAUUUUAAAUGCUUGUGAGUGUGCUGAGUGAAGCGCCCUGCUAGGCUGAGCUCAGCAGUGCUCCUCCUGUGCUUCUCUAGCAGUGCAGGAUGGGGGCAUCCCCGUGGGGCUGCAGGCUCCCUCUUACCCCCAUCCACUCCCUGCACUCUGCCUGGCAGGCAGCUGAAACAUCCCCUUGAAGGGAAAAAAUAACCCCUUUUUGUACCCUUCUUGAGCCCCUGCACACCCUCGUUGUUUAUGUUCAAUCCGGCACACUCCGUUUUGCGGGCCAGCUCGGUGACCAGGUGCAGGCACCCUGAGCAGUUUUCCGUUGAAGCCGUAGCCGUAUACAUUUGCUCAUCAUAGUUUCCACUGCCCAUUGGAAAAAAAUAGGUGAGUGUUAUGACUGCCAGUGCUGCCUUCGGAGAGGGAGAGAUUUAAUUCAGCGCCGCGUCAGUGCGUUCGGCAUCGCCUCUGGGCAGAGGCACUGCAAGACCCGCACGGUGGAGCUCCUCCAGCCCCAGGGUGCUGGUUUAUGGAGCCACGGACCCUGCUGAGCCCCUGCCAAAGAAGGGAAUGAGCUCUUGGUGCAUAACACAAGGAUACCAGCUCCGCUGCUUGAUGGUGAUACCCCAGGUGCUGGCAGGAGGCACGGUGUUGGGCGCACACUGCCACAGCACCUCCUCAGACCAGAUCCAGAAGGGAAACAAGCGAGGAUUUCCCAGGCUUUGCUGCUUUUGGUCAAACCAGCCAUUCCCUGGCAGGCCACCGCUCCCACCUGCAGCUUUACAGAGCCCUUUGGAAAGAAAUGUGUGUGUCUGGCAGGGGUUGGGAAGGGAAAAGUGGAGGUACCUGCUUUUACGAGCUUUGGAAAGUUGUACACGUUUUGGAGGAGUUCUGGGGGGAAGGUUUGAGGCCAUCCUGGCUGAUCCCCUGGUUUGGGGGCAGUCACAGGAAACAGGGGCUGCCCAGGGCUGGGAGCUGCCUCCCCAUCCCGGCUCACCAGGGGCUUCCUGCAGCUGCCACUUUUGCCCGAUGUGCCGUUUUACUUGCCCUGGGUGUCCCCACAAGCCAGCACCAACGAGGCCGGUUCCCAGAGGCCGUGCUGGCGGCACCAGCCCCGCGCCUGGCUGAGAGCCCGAGUGCCCUGCUCCUGCCAUGAGUCACACCAGUGGCACCAGCCCCUCUCCCGCUGGGCUAAAGAGAAAGAAAAAGCAGGAAUGUUUCAUCUUUGAGACUGAUUAAAAAUGUUUAUCAGGGGGUGACUCAGGGGACGGCAAUUCUGCCCAUCCUCACCUGGCUGCUCACAGAGCAAGGGAACGCCAGCAGUGAAUUCCAGAGGCUUUAUGCAUCGCCCGGGUGGCCACCCUCAUCAGGACCCACACCCAAAACCUUCACCCAGAGGCGGCUGUCAGAUGCUGCCGAGAGUGGGGCUGCUCCCGGAGCAGGAUCUGGAGCAGGAGAACGUUCCUGGUCCUGGCUGUGGUGGGAGAAGGUUGCUGGAGGUGUUGGCUCCCUCCAUGACCUCGUUGGUGAUGGUCACACAUCCAAACUCUCAUGGGAAAUCGAUUAUUUUGGAGUGGCAGAGGGAACUGCCUGUGUCAGAGCAAGCUUGAGACCUUGAAAUUCCCCUCAUCAAUCCUCCUGGGAAUAAAUGAGCAUCAGAGCCGCAGACAGCGGUCCUCUCUGAGGCUGGAGCCUGCAAAUGUCCCCAGGGUCCUGUCCCCGCCGGGCAAAGCAGAGGCUCAGAUCCUACAGCCCAUGUGGAGCCGGGUAUCUGCCCUCAGAUGUGCUGCCAGUGCCACCUGCGGUGUGGUUAUGGCAAGCGCGUGGCCUGAGAUCUCGCACAGUGUGAGCAAUCGUCCUGUUCCUAACCACAGCACGGAGGCAGCUCGGGUCAACUCGCCCUUGGCACGCACCAGCAGGCAGGUGGGGCUGGUAGGGCUGCGGGAUUUCCACGGGUAUAAAGGAAAUUGCUCAUCAAAGCAGCAAAUGUUCCUGCUAAAGCCCCUAUUGAUGUCAGGGGGAGAUGGUCAGGAGGCAACACGCUGCUCCUCCCUCCAGCAUUUCUGGACACACAGUUUGCAGACAUCCUAUAGCAAGGCUGGAAAUUAGCGGCUCUGCAUGCAGUUAGCCUCAGACCGAGGAGGGAACAGGGGCACCUCCUGCAGUCCAUGGCUGCGCUCUGCUCAUCCCACAAAUGAGAACGCCAAGUGGGAGAAGAAACUUCACAAACCUCUGCAGUGGGACUGGGGCAGAGCCCUGCCAGCUCCAUCUCAGCGUGCCCACCAGCCCCAGCCAGCGCCGAUGCUGGGAGCAUCACAGCACCCGGAGCCAUCCAGAGCCCCCUUCUGGUGCCAGAAGAGUGAAGAAACCCCCCGCGAGAUGAGAGAGGCCCCGCCAGCCCCGCUGCCGUGCUUUCGACUUCUUGCAAUAGCCAGCGGGAACUGCAAUUAACGUCUGCUGCAAUUUCUUCAUUAUCAUAAUGACAGUGCUCAGCAAAAUAUACGGGAGACAUUGACGGUGACGCCCAGAUGCUGGAACCAUACGAUGCCACAUGGAAAAUCAUGGCAGGGUAUAAAAACUAGGCUUUUAUAUGGUACAGCUGCCUCUGCAUAAUGCCCUUGUAAUUUAUCAGUGUACAGCAUCUGGUUCUUUGCUGUCAUUCUUCGACUUUCAGACAACCAUAAUCUCAAGUGUCUUAAUAAUAACACAGACCUGCCAGACAGGGGGAGGAGGAGGCUGGGGAGGGGGCGGCGAGCAGAACGGCUCCUUUUGUGCCGUUUAUCCUAACUGAGAGGGGGAAAAAAAAUAAAAAACAAAACAAAAAAAAAAAAAAAAACAAAAAAAAAAAAAAAAAAAAAAAAAAAACAGAAAAAGGGUGAGCAUGGUGGGGACUGGGAGCGCUGCGGGGCAGGAAGGUGAGGGCUGCUGGCAGAGGGGCUAGGGCAGGGCCUGCAGGACCCUGCCUUCAGGGGCACGAUGCAGAAGCUGCUGCUUUGGCCUGGAAGAGUGCCAGGCAUUGGCUCUUUCUGGGGCUAAUUUUGCUUUGUAGGUCUAAUGAAAACCACUCGGCCGAGCCUGUGGUUGGAGUGUGUGCACGAUGGUGGUGCAGGGCCUGGCCCCACAGAGCUUGCUGGGGCUCAGCCACCAGCCCAGGGGUGGUGUGGGCUGCAGGGCCAGCACCAGGCCUCCCAAAAAACGCUGCUAUGAGCGUAGGGCAUCAGCCCUGGGGCUGCAAACACUGGGGUGGCUACAAAACCACCGCACUGCAAACCAGGCCCACCUGUCCCUCCUCCAUUGUGGAGGGGCUGUCGUGGGUCCAGGGGGGGUGUAAAUCCACCCAUGUCACCGCCGUUGGGUCGUGCUCACUGUGGGGCAAGAAUGGGGGCCGUGAGACACUGCCAGGUGGGUCUCAGCACCCCGUACAUCUGUGGGACUCCAGCUGUGGGGCUGUGAGGCCACGGACCAUGUCAGGCUGCCUGCUGCCACCACGAGGUGGCGAGCAAAGGAGCCCAUGAGUGGCCGGGCUGUCCUGUGGGAAGGGCACUCAGCCUGCGGCAGGGCGAGCUGGGGGCUCGAUUUUUCCAUGAGCAGAGAUGAAUGCGAGGUGGGAGCACACAUGAGGGCACCUGUGGGAGGGCUCACUGAGAACCAGGAUGUCCAAAAGGAGCAGAGCAGGGCUUGGGAGCAUAGGGCAGGGCAUCCUGUGGCCCCCCAACUGAACCCCAAGGGGAAGGCUGGUACUUUCCAUCCCCAGCCUCCAUCUUCUUCCCCAUCUUCUGCAGCUGGGCUAGGGGGGAGCAGGCUGGGGGAGCCCUGUUAGUGCUAAUGAGCUACGUCUGGAAGGGGGAGGCUCCACCAGAAGGAGCUGGGCUGGGGCUGCUGCUGAGGGGUCUUCCUGGGCGCUGUGAAUAUGCUACCACAGAAGGAAAACAGCUUUGAUGAAUAUUUCAAGCGCUUUGUAACACUGGAAGCGACAAGAGGAGAGAGAAGCUGAUUGUGCAGAAAUAAAGCCAGGCUACAUCUAAAGGUACAGCAACUGACCCCAUCUGAAGAGGAGGGAGGAAAGGAAAUUUUUUUGCUGUUGGGGAAGCAAAAGGCCUGAGCUGUAAAGCCAGUGGUGAUUUGUCAGACACCCAUGAUGAAGCAGAAAAGUUCCAAGAAAACCCAAGGAUCCAAAAUCUCAAAUGACUGCUCCACAUCAGAAAAAAAAGGAGAAAAAGCAGUCUUCAAAUGUGAUUUGUGCACAUUCACCUCACUCAGCAUAUCAAGUAUUAACCAUCGCAUGAAAAUUCGUUCUGAAGAAAAAUAUCAUGUGUGUCACCUCUGCCUUAAGGCUUUUCAUUCAGCUACUCUCCUGCAUAACCAUGUGAAUGCACAUACAGGCUCUGCCUAUCACUAGUUUUAUCCCUGCCCUGCCCACACAGCAACAUUCACAGCUAAUGGGAAGAAUGCAAAGUGACCUUGCUGUUUGCUUUGAUAAGAAAGAGCCUUGCUUUUAUUACCAGCUAAUCAAAUGGAUUCAGAUUGAUGAAACCUUUAUGAAAUCAGCUGAAGCCCUGUAGCCUUGAAAGAAACAGAUUCAAGACCAGAUGCUAUAUUUAGAAACUGAAAAUGCUUGUUUAAAUUACUCUAACUUGAGAAAAUAUAUCUUGCCUGAAUACAUGAGUACUCUUGCUUAAUAAAUAACUUGCAAAAGUCCUUGAGCUGCGUGAUACAGAGAUCGUUCGCAAUGCAGUGAGGAAGUGAUGAAACUUGGUCUCUUCUAAGCCACGCUCUCGGGGACAUACAGCUUGCCUGGGAAGCAGAACGAACUUGGCAUAUAUAUAUGCCCAAGGGAUAAGAAGCAAAAUGUUUGUUUUGAAAAAAAGUUAGUGUUCAAAAAAAAGCUACAUAAAGUUUCCUGUUAACCAGCCAUUAGUAAGGAAGGGAUGAUGUUGACUGCUGCAGCUGCAUUGUCGCUAAAUUAGUGUGGGCUUAAAUCAUUCCUCUGGCUCAGGAAGUCCCUGAAGAGACUGUGUAACCCAAUAGGAUAUUCUGGGUCUGCUCAUGUCGUGUUUACCUUGCUCAUAGUACUCCUCUCUGUAGAUCUGCUGCUGGCUGGGGCUGGAAACAGAUUUUGAAGAAAAAGAAUGCUGGAGAUAUGGAAGGUGGUGACAGUGACAGCAUCCCAAGUCUAGAAGGUGAUACUGUGCAGAUUCUGGAUAACUGUGAUGAGAGGACAUAUUCAGAUUAUGGUACAUGAUACGGAUAAAGAAGAUUCUGUAACAGUGGAGUCAGUGGAAAGGCAAGUAGUCAUCUUGAAACUCCUCCUUGAGCUCCAGCUUUACUUAAUGUGCUCGCAUGGACGAAGCUAAAGUAAACACGGCCAGCUGAUGUGACUCAGGAAGGCAAAUGGACGCUGUGGCUGCCGAGCCACAGUGCCCCAGUGUUUAUCUAGAGGGAGAGAUUAAACGGGAACCACUCAGGCAUGCUUAGUCCGGGUUUCAAGGAUCUUCUGAGUGUUAAACAUGUAUUAAGACACUCGGCGCUAUUUUCAAAGUGAGACGUGUUCCUCGCCACUUUACAAUAGGCCACGCUCCCUGGCUUUGCAUGUCUGAACGCCCCUAGAAACCUGCUGCUGGGACCUGGGGGCUCAUCGAGGCAAUGGCAGUGAGUGAGCCGGCUGCCGAGCAGCUGCUGAACGAGGGCUUUGAGCCCACCUCGCCCAGCCCUCCUCCAGGAUAUUCCCCCUUGAGCUCCUCUAUCUGGUUGCUGUUGGAAGCCGGCUGGCUCCUGCAAGACACUGCAAGGCACCCUUCAAUAAAAGUGGAUAAAAAGCUGGGACACACAGGGCUGGUGCAGGAGGUGCCCAGGGACCAGCACAUGGGGGACAAACACUGGCACAGCCCUGCUGAAUCCUGCAAACCCACGGCUUGAUGCUGAGGCUGCGGAUUGAAGGCGGCCGCAGGAUGGAGGGAAAAUAUUUACUUUGUGUGUAUGCAUAAGGAUUUUUGUAUAUAAAUGCUAUAUAUGUGUGUUUAAACUUAUCUGUAUGUAAUUAUAUUUCUAAAUUAUAUGUAGGAAUUUUAAUAUCUGCACAAACAAAUAAAUACACUCGUGCACAUGUAUUUUGGGAUCGCUAGAGGAAGGUGUGGAAGCCCUAAGUCCCUCUUCAGCCCAACACCAGCACCUCGCCCUGUCCUGGCCCUGGGUUUGGAGGCCGAGAACUGUGACCCCCCUGUCUGUGAGGUCUCCCCCUCCGACAUCUCCACCGCGGGCCUCCAGCCCCAGCACCGCCAGGCUCCUGAGCACGCCCCGCGGCUGGUAAAUCAGAGCCUGCACUUGCCUCCCACCCCACCCAGCCUUAUCUGGGCCAUCGCCCCCUCGCCGUGCCCCGCUGCCCCCCCAUUUGUGGGUGUCAGACCCCCAGUAACACCGCCAGUGCCACCAGCAGCUCCGCAUCGCGGGGCUUUGCAGCUCUGCUGUUAUCCUGUGCAAGGUCCUGCUUUGGGGAUUACUGAUGGAGCUGAAACGCCACAAAAUGUAGUGCGUGUGUGUGUGGGGAAAACAUAAAAACAUUAAAAAAAAUCCUCAGGAACCCUCCCCUUCCCGGCCAGGUCGCCCCUGCAGCGGUCACUGCCCAGCUCAGGAGCAGGACCAAGUUCUGUGCCACCAAGGGGAAGCUGUGACUGCUCCACCCCCCUCCCUAUAAUUUUAGGAUGUUUCCCACACCAGCCCGGCCGUUUGCAGAGGCACGGUGGUAUCAGCAGCCCGCAGGUCUAUCGGGCCAAGCAGAAGCUUUUCCAGGAACUAUCUCGUGCAGCACAUGACCAGCCCCGGCUGGCGAUACGUGACCGGCAUGCCGCGGGUCCCUGCUGCAGGCAGUUGACUUUGCUGUUCAUACUAUUUUAGUGAUGGGUUUUUUAAUCCUGGGCUUAAGUUUUUCUCUUUCUUUCUUUUUUUUCUUUUUUUUUUUUUUUUUUUCUCUCUUCCCUUUUUUUCUCUCUGAACAAGGGAAUCUCUAAGCUGGCAGGAUUCAGAGAGGCACAAAGGAGGGAAAAACAAGUUUCAGCCAGAAGUGGGAGAGAAAGAAAAGGAUGCUGUUAGCAUUCCCUGGAUGCAAGGGGGCAAAACUGUUUUGCUGUGAACUUGAUUUUAAAGGGCAAGUGCCACCAGCGGCCCAGUUACUGCACACAGAAAUCCUGGGUUCAGCCUUCCCCUCUCAGGGGUGAAGUUUUGGCUUUGCCUUAGGAAUGGGACUGUGGGCAGGCUGUGCUGUGGCGCCCUGUUCCCAUGGGGAUGCCACCGUCCCUUAGGGCUGGGGGUGAUGGUGCAGGCCUGGGGGGCUCCCCACCUGUCCUUGGCACCUUGGGGGUGUCUUGACACGUUGCUGCAGGCCAGUGUUGGGAUGGGAGCCAAUGCCGGGCUCAUCCCAGACUUUGGUGCUGGUAUUUAUGGUGGUGAUGUGCUUCAACUCACGGUGCUCACGGCUCAGCUGGGCAGCCUGAUGUGCUGGGAAAACACAUCCUAGGGAAAACAGCUGAAUUUGUCUUGCAAAUGACCGGACCCAGCCCUGGGACACCUGUGCCCCACAGCUGGUGCUGCUUGAGCUGCCCUGCCAAAAUCACCCCCCUAAAAGCCAUUCCCCUUCAAAAAAAAAUCAUCCUCACCACUCUUCCUGCAUCCCUCUGGCCACGUUUUGCUGCACCAAAGCUCCUACAGCAGCACCCCAUGCUCACCCCAUGCCCACCCCAGCCACAAGGAGCAGAGCUCUUCUUACCUCAUACCAGCACAAUGAAAUAAAGUAAAAUAAGAUACAAUACAAAAUCGAAUAAUAAAAUAAAAUACAAAAUCGAAAAAUAAAAUAAAAUAAAAUAAUAAUAAAUAAAUAAAUAAACCUUUUAAGCCAUUGCAAUUCAAUUUAAGCACUUUUCCCUGUACCCAGACCAGCACUCAGCAAUCCUGUGGGCUUUCCAGACUUCCCCAGCGCUGGGUGAAGGAGGUGCUCGGGCCCUUUUUGGGGACAAGGCACACAUCCUUCCCUGCCUGCCCUCGCAGCCAUCGCGCUCCCACUUCCAUGUGGGAAGCUUGCUGGCAGAUUUCAUUAUCAUUCAGCCCAGCCACAACUUCCCAGUUGGGCUGUCAGCGGCAGGAAGCCGGCAGGUUGGCUGGGGCUGCUGGGCUGGUGGGGUUGUUUCUCGAAAUGAGCCCAGAGCGGGGCUGAGCGGGCUCCAGGAAUCCCUGGGGAAGGAGGGAGCUGUGCUGUGCUGCUUCUCAGCGCCACUCGUUGCCCUUGCUUGCUGGCAGUUUUGGCCACCUUUCAGGAAACCAGAGCCAGCUCGAUGGAAACUCAUCACUCUUCUCGCUUUGCAAUGCGCUGGGCGCUUUCUUUUCAUCAACAAAUGGCUCUGAGAGGCCUCGGUCUCCCUGAUGGCUGCGGCAGAAGCGGGUCCCAGGUGCAGACAGUGGCCAUGGGGCCCAGCGGGACCUCACUACAGCUCAGGGACAAGGACACCAUGGGGCCGGGGCUGGUGCUCCCAUGCAGCUCCCCGCACAGCCACUGGCCCUAAAUCCUCCCCCACCUCCUCCAAACCACCGGUGACAGGCAGCAAGAAGAAUUGCUGAGCAAUCCCCACCCCACAGGACUUCAAAGCCAGCGGCUGCUCAGGCCAGGCCCCUCUCCUGCCGGCCGGGCUGGAUGCGGCUGGGCUCUUACUCCUUUGGCAGUCCCGCAGCCGUACACAGAAAGCAAUUACUUAAAAAGGAAAGAAAUGUCACCCGCGUGGCUCCAAGUAAAGCCCCGGGCAGGGCUAACAGAGCACCAUCAGGCUCCGCGUUCUCAUGCAACACGAAGCAGGGAGGAAUGAGCUGUUUCCAUUCAUCUAGAUGGGCUGUUUACUCUGAGGCCUACUGAUGACGUUAGACAUGCCCCCCGUGUGCCUCCAGCUCCACCAGGGCACUUGAUCAGACACAGAGCCGUGCUGCCACUUCUUCCAUCCCAUGGCACCCUCUUCCCCCCCGUGCUGGCUUCAGGCAUCAUCCCCUGCGCAGUAACACGGGCUGGUGCCAAAGGCAGCGACGUCUUGGCACCAAUUCUGCCGUAGCCUUUGGAGAGACGAAAUAGAUCACCAGCACGUUCAAGUAGAAUCGUUUUUAUUUACUUUUAAAAACAGAUAUUGGAAGUCAAAAUCCAAAAAUCAAAUUUCUAAAGCAGGAUGGUGAGGUAAAAUCACACGUGGCCACAGGAGCAAGGCUCAGGGGGGUGCGGGUGCCUGCAGCAGGCCCGGCGCUGCCCGCAGCCUGACCAGGCCCUGCCCGCCCCGAGGGAACCUCAGCGACCCGACAUUAACUGAAGGAGGGCUCAGGCAGACCUCCGACCGCUGGAUGGACUCCAUUUUGGAUAAAACAAAAUAAAAUAAAAC